GACGAACGCUGGCGGCGCGCUUAACACAUGCAAGUCGAGCGGAGCGAGGGUGCUUGCACCUUAGCUUAGCGGCGGACGGGUGAGUAAUGCUUAGGAAUCUGCCUAUUAGUGGGGGACAACAUUCCGAAAGGAAUGCUAAUACCGCAUACGCCCUACGGGGGAAAGCAGGGGAUCUUCGGACCUUGCGCUAAUAGAUGAGCCUAAGUCGGAUUAGCUAGUUGGUGGGGUAAAGGCCUACCAAGGCGACCAUCUGUAGCGGGUCUGAGAGGAUGAUCCGCCACACUGGGACUGAGACACGGCCCAGACUCCUACGGGAGGCAGCAGUGGGGAAUAUUGGACAAUGGGCGGAAGCCUGAUCCAGCCAUGCCGCGUGUGUGAAGAAGGCCUUUUGGUUGUAAAGCACUUUAAGCGAGGAGGAGGCUACUUAGAUUAAUACUCUGGGAUAGUGGACGUUACUCGCAGAAUAAGCACCGGCUAACUCUGUGCCAGCAGCCGCCGUAA
rnacentral:rRNA from 1 species